rnacentral:rRNA from 1 species
AUAGCCGGCCAUAGCACGUGGGUAAUACCUGGACUCAUUCCGAACCCAGAAGUCAAACCACGUAGCGCCGUUGUGUUAGUGAGGUGCGCGAGCCCUUGUGAAGCAGCGGUGCCGGCACCC